rnacentral:tRNA from 1 species
GAAGGUAUAGCUCAGCAGUAGAGUGUGUGCUUAGUACGCAUGAGAUCCUGGUUUCAAGCCCCAGAACCUCCA